rnacentral:rRNA from 1 species
GAUGAACGCUGGCGGCGUGCCUAAUACAUGCAAGUCGAGCGAACGGACGAGAAGCUUGCUUCUCUGAUGUUAGCGGCGGACGGGUGAGUAACACGUGGAUAACCUACCUAUAAGACUGGGAUAACUUCGGGAAACCGUAGCUAAUACCGGAUAAUAUUUUGAACCGCAUGGUUUAAAAGUGAAAGACGGUCUUGCUGUCACUUAUAGAUGGAUCCGCGCUGCAUUAGCUAGUUGGUAAGGUAACGGCUUACCAAGGCAACGAUGCAUAGCCGACCUGAGAGGGUGAUCGGCCACACUGGAACUGAGACACGGUCCAGACUCCUACGGGAGGCAGCAGUAGGGAAUCUUCCGCAAUGGGCGAAAGCCUGACGGAGCAACGCCGCGUGAGUGAUGAAGGUCUUCGGAUCGUAAAACUCUGUUAUUAGUGAAGAACAUAUGUGUAAGUAACUGUGCACAUCUUGACGGUACCUAAUCAGAAAGCCACGGCUAACUACGUG